rnacentral:misc_RNA from 1 species
CCGAGUUUACAACUUCCAAACCCCUGUGAACAUACCUAUACGUUGCCUCGGCGGAUCAGCCCGCGCCCUGUAAAACGGGACGGCCCGCCGCAGGACCCAUAAACCCUGAAUUUUUAUUGUAACUUCUGAGUUUAAAAAACAAAUAAAUCA